rnacentral:rRNA from 1 species
GAUGAACGCUAGCGGCAGGCCUAAUACAUGCAAGUCGAACGGUGUCUUCGGACAUAGUGGCGCACGGGUGCGUAACACGUAUGCAACCUACCUUACAUUGGGGGAUAGCCUUUCGAAAGGGAGAUUAAUACCGCAUAAGACAGUAGCUGGGCAUCCAGCAGCUGUUAAAGAUUUAUCGAUGUAAGCUGGGCAUGCGUCCAAUUAGCUAGUUGGAGAGGUAACGGCUCACCAAGGCAAUGAUUGGUAGGGGAACUGAGAGGUCAAUCCCCCACACUGGCACUGAGAUACGGGCCUGACUCCUACGGGAGGCAGCAGUAGGGAAUAUUGGGCAAUGGACGCAAGUCUGACCCAGCCAUGCCGCGUGCAGGAUGAAGGCGUUAUGCGUUGUAAACUGCUUUUAUACAGGAAGAAACGACUCUUGCGAGAGGCAUUGACGGUACUGUAUGAAUAAGCACCGGCUAACUCCGUGCCAGCCGCCGCCGUAAGAC